rnacentral:rRNA from 1 species
CURUCACUGWCAGCAUCGGGUGKRCGGUACUAAAAGUGGGAGCUGAUGUAGCAACCCCCCCGGGKUUGCAUUAUACAACUCUCAGAUGGUUCCUGCUUCGCCCGAGGAUCGCCUAUUUGAAGGAGCUGGCGCAAUGKAUGCAAGCCACCCGUCUUGAAACACGGACCAAGGAGUC